AUUUGAAUUUUCGUAUCCAAUCUUUCAAUUAUUUGAUUUACAUAAUUUAAAGGUUCUGCGAAUGCAAAAUUUUAUUAAUUACAUAUUUUAAUAAAUUUAUAGUUAUAUAAAUUAUAUAAAAUAUACUAGCUAAACACAUAAAAAUAAACAAUACAUUUAAAUUUUAAAGUUAAAAAAUCACUAAUCAGCUUAAAUCAAAUAAAUUAAAGGGGAAACUUCAAAAACCCCCCCUGUGGUUUCGUGCAUUCUCACUUUGCUACCCUGUGGUUUAAAACGUAUCAAUUUGCCCCCCUGUGGUUUCAUUUUUAUCUUUUUGUUAUCAAUUUUAUUAUUAUUUUUUUUUAAAAUCAGUGACAAAGUUAAAAUUAAAGGAUACUAAAGUGACUAUUCGAUAAAUAUAGAUGGUUAUCUGAAGUUUUUUGUAUAUAAUUUAACGAAAUAUUAACGAACAAGCUUCCGAAAAGAUAAAAAUGAAACCACAGGGGGGUAAAUUGAUACGUUUUAAACCACAGGGUAGCAAAGUGAGAAUGCACGAAACCACAGGGGGUUUUUUUGAAGUUUUCCCUAAAUUAAAAUGUGAGGUGGUAAAGCCAAAAUUUUUAAGGGUUAGAUAGUCAAUCCAAAUGGGUGAUAAUUGAAAUAAGUUUUAUACAUUUAUACAUAAAAAUAAUAGUAGUUAGUUAUAGACUUUCAUAUUAUACAUGAGCACAAUAACAUAAGUUUUUUAAAAAUUUAUUAAUUAAAGAGUUAUUUUUUGGAUAAUUUGCAUAAAAAAUUUAUUAUUUUUGAGUUUUUGCAAAAGUAGACCGUCAUUUUAAAUUUUGCAGAUUCGGACCGAAUUUUUAGAAAACUGACCAAAAUACUCUUACUCUCUUUUUUUUCUUCUUUUCUUUCUCUUGUUCUUUUUGUCUCUCCAACCUUCCUCCACCGCCUCUAUUGUUACGUCCCUGAUUACCACAUUUUUCCGGGCACGCCAACAGACCCACUGUACACAUAGAAAUUUUUCGUAUAUACGAAGCCAUAGCUGUACCUGUAAACAAAUCAUAGCUACAACCAGAAGUAUAGAGCUGCUAAAACUGAAACACGUACACACACACACACACACACACACACACAUAUAUAUAUAAACAUACUAAGCCCACUGUACAUACAAUAUCCAAAAUACAACCUUGACUCAAAGAGUACAACAAAACAUAACAGUAUGUACAUGAUAACAUCCCAAAACUACCUUUGAAUGGGAUACUCCUCUAGCACAGUGACCAAGGAAGGUAGGGAUUUAGCUCGCGACUUCCUUGCCAAAGUCAGAAUCAACAGCAGCGGCAGCAGCAGACGGCUCUGCAAAAAGGUGGCAACAAUUGGGUAUGAGAACUACUGCAAAACAAAGUAGUCCUUAGUGGAUAUCGUCACCGACCCCAAC
rnacentral:lncRNA from 1 species